rnacentral:lncRNA from 1 species
UGUCUAUUGGAGCUGGUCAGUAUGUUUAGGUAAUCAUGUCGAACAUGGCUUUUAAAAAGAAAAGUAUCGCGUAGUAAAACUGCAUACACCUAAUAUCAAGUUAAAGUGUACUGUUAGCUAGCUAACAUUAGCUGGCUGGCUCACUAGCUAACUUUAUUUGUAUGCUCUCCACUUUCUGUAGGACCGAGUUUUUAAAUCAGUGGAAUUUGAGUAUGAUAGCUAAGGAGAUGGAGAAAACACCAGUCUGGAUUACAUCGUCAAACUAAGGCAACCAUGCAUGGCAUCAGACAGGAGACGCGUCCAACCAUGAUGUAUACUGGCAGGGCGGCCCAGUUCCUUAGCCCUGGGGGUCUGGACCCAGUACAGUUCUACAGGACAGGAGAGGAGAGGCUGCUUGGAUCUUUGUGUCCGACGGACCCACAUCCCACCAGGACCCAAGACCCAAGCCCAGAGACCCCCUCUCUCCCUCUCUCCCAUUAUAUCCAGGCCUCUUCCAGCGUCAUGCAUGUGACAGAAUGCAGUAGCCUACAUACGAAGCAUCGGUGAGUACUGGCGUUCCAGUUGGUGGUGACUUUGGCUCGGGUCCCUGCCAAUGGAACCGGGGGUGCCUAGCCAGCUCAUCGGGUUUCCACGCCCUAGCUGUCUCGAGAGGUAUCCUUGCCCCGGUUGGCUUAGAUGGCGCCCAUCCCACGUCGGGCCUCAGCCG